rnacentral:rRNA from 1 species
CCGUAGGUGAACCUGCGGAAGGACAUU